UACGUAGGGAGCGAGCGUUGUCCGAAGUUACUGGGCGUAAAGCGCGCGUAGGCGGGGGUCUAAGUGAGAGGUGAAAGGCUGGGGCUCAACCCCAUGCAGUGCCUCUCAUACUGGAUCUCUUGAGUGAGGUAGGGAGAAGUGGAAUGGCUGGUGUAGCGGUGAAAUGCGUAGAUAUCAGUCGGAACACCGGUGGCGAAGGCGGCUUCUUGGGCCUUUACUGACGCUGAUGCGCGAAAGCUGGGGGAGCGAACGGG
rnacentral:rRNA from 1 species